rnacentral:rRNA from 1 species
UACGAAGGGGGCUAGCGUUGCUCGGAAUCACUGGGCGUAAAGGGUGCGUAGGCGGGUCUUUAAGUCAGGGGUGAAAUCCUGGAGCUCAACUCCAGAACUGCCUUUGAUACUGAAGAUCUUGAGUUCGGGAGAGGUGAGUGGAACUGCGAGUGUAGAGGUGAAAUUCGUAGAUAUUCGGAAGAACACCGGUGGCGAAGGCGGCCCACUGGUCCGGUACUGACGCUGAGGUGCGAAAGCGUGGGGAGCAAACAGG